UGAAGGAGUUGGCCACCACUCCCUUGCUGGAAAAGGUAGGCUCCAAGCUCUGUACAAAGCGGUGUGACUCCUGCAAGCUCUUGAUGUUAAACUCAAACUUCUUAAUUCACCCAUCGGUGAAAGAAGGUCUUUGCUGACAAACAGUUGUUCCCACAGUCUGGAGGCCUGAGGUGGUACAGAUCUGCUGUUGGAUUUCCUGAUCAGUAGUGGCUUUUCGAGAGAGCUGACUGCUAAGUCAGCUCAUUGGAAAACUCAUUCAGUCAAGUUUGCUGACGACACCACCAUCGUAGGCUGGAUCUCAAAGAAUGACGAGACAGAGAACAGCAAAAAGACAGAGUGCUUGCUGGCACUGUGUAAAAAUAAUAAUCUGUCAACAUGAGCAAAACAAAAGAGCUGGUCAUUGACUUCAGGAAGCAAGGUGAAGGGCACACCGCUGUCUACAUCAACGGAGCUGAGGUGGAGAUGGUCAAGAGCACCAAGUUCCUAGGACUGAUGAUCGCCAAUUUGCCCCAGUCCACCCAUGUCGACGCGAUGGUCGAGAAAGCACAACAACGACCCUACUUCCUCUAGAGGCCAAUGAAAUUUGGCAUGUCCAUAAAGAGACUUACUAAUUUUUAUAGAUGCAGUGUAGAAAGCAUUCUACUUGGAUAUAUCACUGCUUGGCGCUUGGCAACUGCUCUGCCCAGGACCACAAGAAAGUACGGAGAGUUGCAAACACAGUCCACUCCAUCAAGCAAGCAAACCUUCCAUCCACUGAUUCCAUCUAUACAUCUUGCUACCUUGGGAAGGCAACCAGUGUAAUUAAAGAAUCCUCCCACCCCAGUUAUAACCAUUUCCACUGGCAGAAGAUACAAAAGCUUAAACACACAUACCAAAGAUUGAAGAACAGCUUCUUCCCUGCUGUAAUUAGAUUUCCGAACAGCCCUCUCAAAUUAUAAAUUUAAUGUUGAUCUUUCUCUCUGUGUGCCUUCUCUACAGCCGUAACAUUGUAUUUCUUGCCCUGUCC